UUCCGGUUGAUCCUGCCAGAGGCGACCGCUUUUGGAGUUCGAUUAAGCCAUGCGAGUAGAAUGAAUUAGAUUCAUUGCAAACUGCUCAGUAACACGUGGAUAACCUGCCCUAUGCUCUGGGAUAACCUCGGGAAACUGAGAAUAAUACCGGAUAGAUCACAACGCCUGGAACGGUGUGUGGUUCAAAGGUUACGGCAUAGGAUGGGUCUGCGGCGUAUCAGGUCGUAGGGGGUGUAAUGGACCCCCUAGCCAUCGACGCGUACGGGUGUUGGGAGACAUAGCCCGGAGACGGAUUCUGAGACACGAAUCCGGACCCUACGGGGUGCAGCAGGCGCGAAAACUUCACACUGCAGGAAACUGUGAUGAGGGAACUCCAAGUGGAUGCACAUAGUGUAUCUCUUUUCCUUACUAUUAAUCGGUAGGGGAAUAAGGGCUGGGAAAGACCGGUGCCAGCCGCCGCGGUAAUACCGGCAGCUCGAGUGGUCGUCGCUUUUAUUGGGCCUAAAACGUCCGUAGCCGGUUUGGUAAAUCUGUGGGUAAAUCAACUAGCUUAACUAGUUGAAUUCUGCAGAGACUGCCAGACUAGGAACCGGGAGAGGUGUGGGGUACUCAAGGGGUAGGGGUAAAAUCCUGUCAUCCUUUGGAGACCACCAGUUGCGAAGGCGCCACACUGGAACGGAUUCGACGGUCAGGGACGAAGCCUAGGGGCACGAACCGGAUUAGAUACCCGGGUAGUCCUAGGUGUAAACGCUGUGAACUUGGUGUCGGGAGUCCGCAAUGGGCCCCCGGUGCCGGAGUGAAGAUGUUAAGUUCACUGCCUGGGGAGUACGGUCGCAAGGCUGAAACUUAAAGGAAUUGGCGGGGGAGCACUGCAACGCGAGGAGCGUGCGGUUUAAUUGGAUUCAACGCCGGA
rnacentral:rRNA from 1 species